UCGCCGCUGUUGGGAUAAACAACUAUCAACUUCUCAGUCAACUGGAGGCACAAAAGUUUUGCAGGCCAAGUUAUUCAAUUAGUAUAAUGAGCAACCAGAAUAAAUUGGCAAGUAUAUAUUUAUCCGUUAAUACUUGGGUGUAUUAUUUGAAGUUUACCCAUUUACCUCCUUAAAUUUGCAGAUGAGACUUUCAAUAAAAUGGGGAGGUGCACAGUUAAUUCCAACUGCAUUUAUUUUGUUG
rnacentral:lncRNA from 1 species